AAAAUAACUGACUUCCUGUUGGGAUUCGAAUUUCGUACCAAGAGACUUUUUUGUAGGUAUUGGUGUGUUACAUGUGUGUACCGAUUUUUGUACAUGUACGUGAAACGUAGCUCGAGGCGCACUCCAUUGAAAAUGUAUAGGUGGCGCUAUCGAGGCAUUUUGCCACACCCAAUGGAAUAUUGGCCUUCAGAUGUGUUCAGGCCAGGACUCUUAUCAAACAUGUGAAGUUUGGGCAAGAUCGGACAUUUUAUGCCUGAGUUACAAUAACUUUUAUUCCCAUGGCGAGACAUCGAACUUUGUGACGGCGCCAUGGACACGCCCUUUAACAAAAACUCAAGAUCUUCACAAUUUAACAUCGCACAGGCCUUU
ensembl:lncRNA